rnacentral:ncRNA from 1 species
GGUUGUCUGUAAAUAUGCGCGGGCAAACCUGAAUUUUUUAACUCGCAUAUUGGAGUGAAUCAUCAUGGCACUAAGUGCAGAAGAAAAAGCCGCAAUCGUCGCUGAACAU